CUUAAACAAAGACUUGUAGAUUUUGUAAGCGUAGUCCUACAGAAGUCAAAGACAAAUCUUCCACUGGCUUGAACAAGGCCAUGAUUUUACCACAUAUAGUAUAAUGUCUGCAGUAAUGUAAAAUAGAGACUUGCAGAUUGCAUUGUUAUUGAUUCCUGACCAGAUGAUAAUAUCUGUAGCAGAAGACCUUGAAGCAGCUAUUGUGGCGCUGAAUAUUUUACAGAGUGAAGAACAUCGAAGAGUGGUAUCAGGUAUUAGGUGGUGUGGAUCAAGACGAUUUCCCACAGGACUGUGAAAACUGCCAUCAUUCCUGUAAUCUGUUUGAAGAACUUUUAACAGUUCUAGUGACAACACUGACAAGUAAAUGCUUUCCCAGAUUUUUAAUCCUUGAAAUUUCGAUUGACAGAAAAAUAAUUAAAGUUUCCUCACUAAUGCAAGGGAAAACAAGCAAUUCAUUCUUACGUGACUGGCUUCCUUUUCACAGUUUUUUGAUGGUUAUUAUUAUUAUUAUUAUUAUUAUUUCUACUGCAGUGCUAUCUAGAAGCACAGAUACAUUCAAGACCAUGUUUUUCAAGCAUCUGCACAAUCUCAGAGUGAGGAAUUGUCUUUUGCUCUAGAGAGUUAAUUGAGUAAAGGCUUAUCUUUUCCUCCAUUGUAAUGCUUUAAUUUAAAUGGAUUUAGGUUCUGUGUCUGGACUUUGUCAUACUGCUAUAAAACUGAGUUAUUGUGAUUUAGCUUAUGCCUGAAAAAUUGUUUCUGAGAAUUGCACUGUUAUAUUGUUACAGCUUUCUGUGUAAAAAAAGGCCUGAAUAAGGCAGGGUGGGGAAGGGGAGAAGAGUGAGGCAGGAGAGGCUGCCUGAUUUGCCAGAGAUCACUUUUGUGCUAUUUAGUCCAGCAGGAAAGCGUGGGCUGGGACACAUGAGCACGUGGGAAAGCUGGGCAGUCCUGCGGCUGUUGGUGCCAGGGUCCAGCACCUCACAUUGCUCUUGGACAUCUGCUGCAACAGGAUCAAAGGAGCGUGAAACCCCGAGAUGAAGAUUAUGUUUCUGCAUGGAGACCUUGCUUCCGGCAAAGGCAUCUACUGCCCUCCGGCAUUUCAGUGAAAGAAGUUGCCAUCACUUUUGUCUUCUGCUUUCAUAGUUGUUCAGUGAUAAAGGAGUCAGCUUUGCACCRCUUUUAUGUCUACCUUGAACCAAUAAACAUUAUUUUAAAAAUAAAUGUGAAGAUAUG
rnacentral:lncRNA from 1 species